rnacentral:misc_RNA from 1 species
AGUUUUUACAAAAUAUAAAUUUCACCUACUGGUUUCAGAUCCCUUUCCUUAAGCAAGCCGUAAAAAACAGCACAUUCUGUUGUGUUGAAUGACAUCUUCAUGAUAGCUGAUUGGCAAGACUGUGACUCAUAAUUUUUACAGAAUUUCAUUCGAGAUUUCCUUUCAAUAAUCACCAAUCCUAUUACUAUAAAACUUGGGAUAAAUGAAUGCAGUAACCUUCUGGUAUCAAACAAGAAGAGAAGAAUAUGAAGCGAUGAGAGCCAAAUCUUAUAAAGCUACCUUCCACUACAAUCAACAGUUAUGCAUGUGCUUUGUUUUCAAAUAUGAUCAUCAUUUUGGAAAUUAUACCCAUAUGAAGCAAUUAUCUCCUUUUUCUUGU